ACCCGGCUGCUCACCCGGGACGGCCGUCACACCGGCACUACGGGAAGAAGCCGGCCGGCUAGGGCACGGAGCUCUGGGCUUGCGGGGUGCGGCGCACGCCCCUCCCUCCCACCGCCUAAGGUUUUUCCGAAGCUGCUGGGCGUGCGCCGCGUUUCUGAGGCGGGAGGAGACACUUCCGAGCCAGCUGUGUGACAUCCGUUUACACAGCCGCGCUGACGUCUCGAGGUGUAAGUUCAAGAGCUGCCAUUGGCCGGGAGCCGCUGGGCUCUUCCCCUCACCUUCCACCCCUGUCACCACCCCUGACUCGGAAACCGAGGCCACUUCGAAGCCGCGAGGCGGGUUCCGCCGGAAGGGCCAGUGUGGGCGCUGACCGCGCUUCGGGCAGAGUGGCAGAUGCGGCCCCUGGGUGAUGCGCACCGAAGUCAUGUGAGGGGUUGAUUGGUUGUGCGGCACCACUGUUUACCCACUUGUGUUUUCUUAAUUGUUGCGUACUACUGCCUUUCCACAACUUUAUUUCAGAAUGAAAGCAUAUAUCAAAUUACCUGUGCACAGCAGAAAGAUAACAGCUUCCCCACCCAGUGAGCCAUUCAACACCCAGGCUACAAACUGUAGAUCACUUUAUUGUCUACACCCUCGGAAUCCUGUCUAGCCGUCUGUUGUAUAUUUUAAACAUGACGGUGCAGUGCCUGCUAUAUGACAAACGUUGGUGAUCCAGAUGAGAAAGAGGAAACAGCUAUGCAGGCAGUCCUUUAGAAGGUUUGACUAUAUCGAGGCUAAAGAGCUAGGGCAGCUGCUAGAGCGGUACCUGGUGCGGAGAGGUUAGCUUUCACAAGCGAAAAAUUAGAGGAGGCAAAUACCAUGGGAAUGAGCCACUCUAGUGAGAGAAAUAAGAGGAGAAGGUGGAAUGGAGAGUGCUUUAGGAAGGAUACUUUCUUCAUUGUGAUUACAGAGAAUGAGGAAAGGUAGAUAAAGGACGGAUACAGAGAGGUGGAUGUUUCUAGCAGGAAGGUGAAAGAGUUCCUUUCUGUUGGUUUCUGUUUUGCUUCAGAUAGAGCUUGGUUACCUGCUGAAGGGUGGAAGAGAAGUGGCAGGUGUUUAAAAAAAAAUCUGCUAAGGAUAACUUGAGAGAGCUGACUGAGGAAGAAGUAUUGCAAUAUUCAAGGCCCAGUGGCUUGGAGAAGACCACUGUUGGAACCUACAUUGCUAUUCCCACUAUAGUGGCCAGCCCCACCCAGCCUGCUCUCAAACAUGCUGUCAAACAAUUGUUAAUUCUGGCCUUUUUGUCAGAAAUGACCAAUCUUAAGUCUGUCACAUUCAGGGAUCCUUUCAGAGCCUAAUGACAGUUAUGUGGAAUUCUAGAAGCAAAUAUUUGUCAAAAGAUUUCACAGACAUACACGCUAUUCACUAUCAAAUGCAUUGCCUGAACGACAUUUACGUACACAUAUAAUCCACAUAACUUUCAUCCAUUUGCCUGUAGGAGAAUCUUCCAGGGCCCCAGAGCAGUGCUUGAGGACUUAUUACAGAUCCUUUGACAUCUCUACUAGGCUGCACUUUCACAAAAGGCAAGAGUAUUAUAAAGUGUUUUGUAACUUUAUGUCAAAAAUAUGAACCUGUCAGAGCCAGAUGUGGUGGUACCUAUCAUUCAAACUACAACAGGGCUGGUGAGGCGUGAGGAUCGCUUAAGCCCAGCUUGUUAUGAUUAUGCAUGUGAAUAGCCACCGUAGUCCAUCUUGAGCAGCGUAGCGAAACACAGUCUCUUAAAAAAAAUUGCGACCUAUACAUUUCAUAUAAGUUAAAUACACAUCUUCCCUAUGAGCCAGCAAUCCCACAUCUAGGUAUUUAUCCAGAGAAAUAAAAGCAUAUAUCGAUAAAAAGACAUGUACAAAAAUGUCCGUAACAACUUUAUUCAUGGUCACCAAAAACUAUAAACUGCCCAGAUGUCCAUCAGUGGGAGAACGGAUUAAUAAACUGAUAUAUUCAUCUAAUUAAAUACUACUCAGCAACACAAGAGAAAAAGCAUGGAUGAAUCUCAAAAAGUUAGGAUGUUUUAUGCUUUCUGGAUACGGGGCCCUCGAAUCGCUACCUGGUAACAGGCUCCCUAUGUGAUUCCUGUACAGACAGCCUGGCACCAUGCAAAUGUAUCAGAACUACACAUACCAUCCAACUUCAACUUCUUGUUUUUAGAGAUGAAGCAACUGACUCUGAGAGUUCUGAAGUCGUUGCUAAAAUUUACAAUAUUUGUUUCCUUACUCCCAGUUCCUAAACCAUUCAACCACAAGCAAAUUGUCUUUGGUCUACCUAUUGGACUCUGUGCUGACAAAAGAUACUUGUUUUUUUAUAAUUUAGAUAUUUUGCAUGUCUGUUCUCAUCACCCACCAUCAUCACACCACUAGUUCUCCCCAGAAAAAAUUUCAGAUUCUUUGAGGCUUAGGAUUAUCUCUAACCCUUCUUUUUAUUUCUUUACCACAGCAAAUAGCAGAGAGAGUCUUGUAUAGUUCAUCAGUGAUUAAAUAAGCUACUACUAUUAUCAGGAGAGCUGUAAUGAGUUUUGGAACUCAGUACCCUAAAUAAUAAUACUAAUGUUGUAAAUGUUAAAGAUACAGAAUUAUGAAUAAGAGUCAUAAAUUAGAAUUAUAGAGACAGUUGUAGCAGCUGAUGGCUUUGCUAGUUGGGGGGCAGAGAGGGUGGAGUUGCAGUGGAAACCAACUCCGGACAGCCAGGAGCUGGACUGGCACUAUUAGCUAGGCAUUUGUGGUACUGGCAGCUGUCCUGGCAUUCUCAGUUCUCAUUGUUUUGUCAAAUAUAAACAGUCCCACAAAACAUCAACAUCAGUUAUAGUCAUUUUAUGACUACAAUAGGCAAGACAAAAAUAAGACCCCUCCACAAUCAUGUCUGAACACAGCAAAUACAAGAACAGUCUCUAAACCACAAAAAUGACCAAACAUUCUGGUUAAUAUAAGUGACCACUGUUUCUUGGCCAAUUACAGGCUUAGCCUUGAUCCAUUCUUCCUGCCUUCUAGAUAGCAAAUAUUAAAAUAUUAAGUUAUAGGAUCACCUGUUUCCUGCCAGCAUCCAAUCCAGAGCAAAACCUUGACACUUCCCCAAAAUCACCUAACAACACACUCAUUCCUGUAAUGUUUUUCACAAUACCAAUACCUUCUUACUGAGAGUGCUCCUGCCCAACUUCGCUCCUCAUUGCUCUCUGCCUCCCUGCAACAAGACAUUAAACCCACCUUGGUUUGAAUCUAGUUGUUUUCCUGCUGCUCUUUAGCUAGAGGGCAUUAGCAUUUGUUAUUAUCAAAUGUCACCAACCUAUCUAAAGUUAAUCCCUCCUUUGCCCUUUCCUCUUACCGUUUUUAUUUUCUUUAUAGCUCAUUAUCACAUUUUUAAAAAUUGUUGGUUUGUUCAAUUAGAACACAGGCUCCAUGAGGACAGGGAUUUUGUUCAGUUUUUGGGAAGAUAAUCAGGCUACUGUGUGGAAUACGGACUAGAGGAGAAGCAACCUCUUAGAAGGAAGACCAGUUAAAGUUGUUCAAAGGGUCCAUAGAGAAGCCUUAAAAGUAUGAAUUUAGGGCCGGGUGUGAUGGCUCACGCCUUUGAUCCCAGCACUUUGGGAAGUCAAAGCGGGCAGAUCACCUGAGGUCAGGAGUUCAAGACCAGCCUGACCAACAUGGUGAAAUCUCACACUACUAAAAAUACAAAAAUUAGUUGGGCACAGUGGCGCAUGUCUGUAAUCCCAGCUACUCAGGAGGCUGAGGCAGGAGAAUCACUUGAACCUGGAAGGCAGGGGUUGCAGUGAGCUGAGAUUGUGCCAUUGCACUCCAGCCUGGGCAACAAGUGCAAAACUCCAUCUCAAAAAACAAAAAGCAAAACAAAAAAAAGAAUGUAGGCAUUCUGGGAAUAAUGAAGUAAGGUUGUUAUUGAGAAACAUUUCUGAUGUGGAGUUGUCAGGAUUUAAUUCUGAAUUGGAUAGAGGGAAGGGAAUGAUGAAUAUAGGGAGAAAACCCCCAAAUUGCUUGUUCUUAUGAUUUAUUUCAAUGAAUAACUUAUGGUGAAAUAAUGGAUUCUAUAACGUAAAAUAGUUACAUAUUUGAAUAAUAUUCCAACCUGAGGUAGAUUUGAGUUAUGGCAUACUGAGAUUCACACUGAAAACCAGUAUAUAAAUUUAAAAUGUGGCAAAAAGGUAAAAAGAAAAGUUUUUUCUUCUUUGCUAACAUAGGUUAUACUAAAUUUGAAAUUCACAUUUGCUUAUAAAAAGACAGCCUUUUGUAAAAGGUUUUCAUGCUGCUUGAAGUUGGGUAAUGGUGGUUGUGGUAAAUAGCUAAAACAUCCUAUAGCACCAGUGACGCACAAGGAGAACAAAGUUCACAUGCCAUUGAUCCCAGUAAUUGUGGUAAAUGUGACAGAUGGCCUAGAAAGACAUUGUCUGAUGCAUCUUAAAAUCAUGGAACACCCAGGUGUUCAGUAGAUUUAAUUCCAUAUUAUAUUGUGUUUUUGCUGAAAUACUCAAGGCCAAAGAUGAUAGUGAAAAACAAGUUUCCAGAGAAUUCCCUUCAGGACAAUCUAUAUUCCUGAGUAAUUUGUUUCAGACAUGAUAUGAAAGUUCAGCUGCUGCCUGGCCUGUUCUUCCCUAAGCUCUUCUCUUGACUGAUUCAUUCUGAGUUUCCAGAUGAUAUCAGCCCUAAUAUCACCUCCUGUCAUGAGAGCUCUUCCCCAGUCACUCUGUUACACUCCCCUGUUCAUUUCCUUCACAGCAGUUACCACGGUCCGCAGUUGUGGUAUUUCUGUGUUAUUUGACUAUCAUUCCCAUCAGAAUUAAUUCCUACUUUGUUUCCUCUCAAAUUGCCAGCACCUAAAUUUGUUAAUCAACUGAAUUUUAAAGGCAGAUUUUCGGAGUCUGAGACAGGAGGAACACUUAAGUCCAGGAGUUCGAGACCAGCUUGGGCAACAUAGGGAGACCUUAUCUUUACGAAAAAUUUAAAAAUUAGCCGGACAUGUUAGCUCACACCUAUACUCCCAGCUAAUCUAGAGGCUGAGGCGGAAGGGUAGCUUGAGCCCGGGAGGUCAAGGCCACAGUGAGCCAUGAUCUUGCACCACUGCGCUCCAGAACCUGGGCGACAGCGUGAGAGACACCCUGUCUCAAAAAGAACCAAAUAAAUAAGUAAAGGCAGAUUAUCCUAGGUGGGCCUGACAUAAUCAAGUGAACUCUUAAAAAGAGGGUCAAGGAACGGCUGGGCGUGGUGGCUCACACCUGUAAUCGUAGCACUUUGGGAGGCCGAGGCAGGUGGAUUGCCUGAGCUCAGGAGUUCGAGACCAGCCUGGGCAACAUGGUGAAACCCCGUUUCUACUGAAAUACAAAAAAAAAAAAAAAAAAAAAAAAAGUAGCCUGUAGUCCCAGCUACUCAGGAGGCUGAGGCAGGAGAAUUGCUUGAACCUGGGAGGUGGAGGUUGCAGUGAGCCAAGAUCGUGCCACUGCACUCCAGCCUGGUGACAGAGCGAGACUCCAAAAAAAAAAAAAAAAAAAAAAAAAAGGUCAAGGAGAAGUCAGGGAGAUUGAAAGCAACAGCAGAUGCUUUUCUUUUAGCCGUGAAGAAGUAAAGUUUCAUGUUAUAGUGAGACCUAUAUGGCAGAAAAUGGCAAGUGGCCUCUAAGAACUGAGAGUAGCCCCUAGCUGAUGGUCAGCAAGAAAGCAGGCCUUCCUUCCUACAGGAUUCUUAAUUCUGCCAACAACCACAUGAGUUUGGAAGAAUACCCAGAACUACAGAAGGGAGCACAGCUUGGCUGACACCUUGAUUUCAGCCUGGUGAGAACCUGAGCAGAGAACCCAGCUGAGCCCAUGCCAGGACUUCUGACUUACAGAACUACGAGAUAAUAAAUAUGUUAUUUUAAGUCACUUCAUUUCUGGUAAUUCGUUUUUGCAUCAAAUGCAAAUGUUUUUGCAUGGAAUAAAGUGUGUAUUCAAAUACAGUCAUAUGGAUACCAAAACUUGAUGUAGUUUUAAUAGCAGAAACCAAAUGAUCAAUUAUCCAUAACUUCAAAGAUUAAUUCAACCUCAUGAAAAGAAACAACUAAUCAGAAGUUAAUACCUGCACAGACUAUUUGUUGUUCUCCCACUUUUGCAUAAAUUAGAUAAUUGAGACAAAGAUAUGGGCUUAUUUCUUUUGCUUAAGACUCACAUAUUUAUCUUUUCCUUAGAUGGAAUUAGUGUAACACAAAGAUGUUCCACUAUUUAUAUUCCUUCAAUUCUGUGUGUGUCUAUAUUCUAUAAUUAGUAUUUUCUCAUUUUCAACUGACAGAAAUAGUGCUUAUAGAAAAAAGAAUUAAAUUACAUGUGUCUCCCUAACAUUAAAUGUUUUUUCUCCUAAAUUUAUUUUUUUUUCCUUUUUUUUUUCUUUUUUUUGAGAUGGAGUCUCACUCCAUCACCCAGCCUGGAGUGCAGUGGUGCUAUCUCAGCUCACUGAAACCUCCGCCUCCCAGGUUCAAGCAAUUCUCCUGCCUCAGCCUCCCAAGUAGUUGGGAUUACAGGCAUGUGCCGCCACACCCAGCUAAUUUUUGUAUUUUUAGUAGAAACAGGGUUUCACCAUAUUGGCCAGGCUGGUCUCAAACCCCUGACCUCAAAUGA
rnacentral:lncRNA from 1 species